CCUACGGGGGGCUGCAGUGGGGAAUAUUGCACAGUGGGCGCAAGCCUGAUGCAGCCAUGCCGCGUGUGUGAAGAAGGCCUUCGGGUUGUAAAGCACUUUCAGCGGGGAGGAAGGCGUUAAGGUUAAUAACCUUGGCGAUUGACGUUACCCGCAGAAGAAGCACCGGCUAACUCCGUGCCAGCAGCCGCGGUAAUACGGAGGGUGCAAGCGUUAAUCGGAAUUACUGGGCGUAAAGCGCACGCAGGCGGUCUGUCAAGUCGGAUGUGAAAUCCCCGGGCUCAACCUGGGAACUGCAUUCGAAACUGGCAGGCUAGAGUCUUGUAGAGGGGGGUAGAAUUCCAGGUGUAGCGGUGAAAUGCGUAGAGAUCUGGAGGAAUACCGGUGGCGAAGGCGGCCCCCUGGACAAAGACUGACGCUCAGGUGCGAAAGCGUGGGGAGCAAACAGGAUUAGAUACCCGGGUAGUC
rnacentral:rRNA from 1 species